GACGAACGCUGGCGGCGUGCUUAACACAUGCAAGUCGAACGAUGAAGCCUAGCUUGCUAGGUGGAUUAGUGGCGAACGGGUGAGUAAUACGUGAGUAACCUACCUUUAACUCUGGGAUAAGCCUGGGAAACUGGGUCUAAUACCGGAUACGACCAAUCUCCGCAUGGGGUGUUGGUGGAAAGCGUUAUGUAGUGGUUAUAGAUGGGCUCACGGCCUAUCAGCUUGUUGGUGAGGUAACGGCUCACCAAGGCGACGACGGGUAGCCGGCCUGAGAGGGUGACCGGCCACACUGGGACUGAGACACGGCCCAGACUCCUACGGGAGGCAGCAGUGGGGAAUAUUGCACAAUGGGCGCAAGCCUGAUGCAGCGACGCCGCGUGAGGGAUGACGGCCUUCGGGUUGUAAACCUCUGUUAGCAGGGAAGAAGAGAAAUUGACGGU
rnacentral:rRNA from 1 species